rnacentral:lncRNA from 1 species
GGAGCGACAUGACAUACAAGAGCGUUGCUGCACAUGGGACCAGGAGCACGGCGGCACGGGGGUGCAGGGAGGCGGGCGCAGACCACGACGACGGCGAGGAGCAUGACCGUGCCGAGGAGGUGAUGACCACACCAAACAGCCACGCUCAAGGUAUUUUUUUGUUCCCUCAGUCCCUUCCCUGUACGUCUUGUGUUCUUGUACGUGCGUGUGAACAUGUGCUUGUUCAUGAAUUUCCACAAAGUAUUUCUUGCAGUUUACAUUAGUAAUUGGAGCAGAGACUUACAGUGUUAGGUAAUUUUCGUUGAUACAUAGCAUGCUCUAUAGAUAUGCAUGUUAAUUAGUACUGUAUUUAGGUUUUACCACAUCACUGAAUUUCAAACUACAGGGCUGUGAGCACGCAAAUGAUUAAUGUUCAUUAGAACCUGACUUCUAAUUCCCCUCAAAAAAAUCUGACCUGUAAUUUGGGUAGGUGUACCUUACACUCCGUAAAAGAAGAAAUAUAGAAAAGAUAAAAUUUAGGUUGGUAGUUACCAUUCACUGCAAUUUACAGAUCAAAGUAUUUUCAAAUACGUACAAUUUAGACAAAUCGAUGUACCUUGCCUCACUUUAACUGCAGUAAAGACUGUUUAUUUUCAUGUAUAACUCAAUAGUUUCUCAUGAUGGAGCACAAGGCCUUGUUGUGGUUAGCCCCAAAAAAAUUGACUCACUUUAACUAAGCUUGGUCCCCUGCUGACAUGAUAGGUCAUUAUCCCUCACUUAUCUAAUCUACGUUACACUACAAUAAUUAUUGCUGAUUAUUCCUUUAUCUCUAAAUUUUUGUAUUAGGGGAUAGAGAAUCCACUCUCUUUGCAGCAUUUCAAAGUGUUCCAUAUGAUGACAAAGAAACUAUGGUAACAUGUUCAACUCAUUAAAUUCUGCUAUAACAUGUUGCAAACUUGCAAUGUUUGUUUUGUUCAUUUCCAUUAAUAGUUGUGCUUUUGUUCUGCUCACUUCAAGGAUGAGUCUGAAUUCAUCAUAACCGAAGCCUAGCAAAUGAUGUCUAGAACACUGAGGUGAAGAAUGGAAGAUGAUGCAUGGUUGUACAUGUGCUUACUUGAGUUUGCACUUGUGCUAUGAUGUUUUGUGAGAAACCGAGAUUGAGAAAUGAUGUUGUGAUAUUGCUUUGUCAUUUUGAGAGGAUUGAGAAUUGUAUACUAAUGUUUAUUCGAUGUUAUGUCAAUUAGUGAGAAUACGAGAAUUUAUUUGGUGAUGUGCACUUGUCCUAUGUCAUUUUGUUGGAAUAUAAGAGAUUAUUUGAUGUUGUGCACUUGUGCUAUGUCAUUUUUGGGGAAUUUGAGAGCUUAU